UUACCAUUUCGUCUAUCUACCCAAAAAAAAAUCUGAUAAAAAUCCAAUACUAUCACCUGAGAAAUAAUGAAUGUUAAAUGGAAUUUUUUAUUUGAAUCAUGGUAGAAUAGAGAGUUUUCUACCGCAGAAAGUGCAUACAUCUUCUAGUGUCCUUUGGUCUCGGUUUCACAUUUUACUUACAAAGGGAAUAUAUUUGGUAUGACGCCCUUGAGCAAAAACUUGUCCAGUCUUUUUCUUCUUGAACUCCACGCUUACAACAGCUACAGCCUUUCCUAUUCGUAAAACUCUAGCAUCAAUCUCAAUCUCUUCAUUGACAUAAGUAGCAUCAAAGCAUGAGAUAUUAAUCUCAAUGGAAACUCCAGAAUUCCACGGAAAUCCAGCUGCGGGAAUUGCGGCUGCGCCUACUAUAUCCACCAGAGUUAGGGAUGGCAAUUGGACCCAGACCCAAUGGAUACCCGCAAAAAAUACCCACAAUGGGUAGGGUAAAACCCCGCUUUUCUAGGUCUGGGCACGGGUACGGGUAAUACCCACAAAAUUAAAUGGGUAUGGGCACGGGUAAGGGUACUAUACUGCCCAGACCCGCAGACCCGCAUAUACAUAUUUAUAUAAUAUCAUAAAUUAUUUAUUUAUUUUUUAUGUAUAAUUAAUUAAUUUAUUUAGCUGUUUAAGCCUAAACCUAAACUUAAAACAAACAACUACUUAAUACAAUAACAACUCCAUCAUGCUGGUGUAUAAUUUUUUAGGCAUAUUUCAGAUGUUUUCUAUUUGACUAAAUACCACGGUUCAUAUUAUUUUAUGAGUUAAUUUUAAAAAAUUGGGAUCGUAGUUUUAUUUCAUUUGUGAUGUUUUUUUUUUUUUGUUUUUCCAUAGUUAAAGUGCGGGUAAUGGGUGCGGGUAUGGGUACUUAAGUACCCAUAGGGUAUGGGGAAGGGGACUAAAGUUGUUGCCCACGAGGGUACGGGCACGGAUACGGGUAUUUUUUAUAAAUGCGGGUAUGGGGACGGGCAUUGUAGUACCCUACCCAUUGGGUACCCAUUGCCAUCCCUAACCAGAGUAGUUAUAGCACCACCGUGCAAGUAUUUACUUGAAUUCUGCGAAUUAAUUAGUUAAUAUUGGUAAAAAACAAAAAGAAGAUGAUGAAUAGUGUAGGAUACGAACGAGUAAACGUGGAGGUAUGUUCAUUGAGAAGACGACACGACCAGGUUCAAUGCGAUCCAAUCGUAGGCCGCGCAAGGUUAGAUGUUCCAGAAACUCCUGAGGCAAUUCAUCGUCUACCAUUGACGAUGCUUCUCCUUUCUUCGUUGACGCUUCUGUUUUUCCCAUUCUGUUUUUUUGUUUGUUUGUUUGUUUGUUUAGCAGCAUUGACUUUUAGUUUGUAGCUUUUUUUUCACCAUAUAAAAUUGAUAAAGAAGGAUAACACUUCACGCUGUCCUCUCGGUUUGAAUAACUUAGUCUAGAUAAGGAUGGUAAUCAAGUCAAUAAAAAUAAUGAACCUAUGACAAGAAGUUAGUCCAGUCAAAAAAAAGAAGACAAAUAUUUAACAGUUUAUGCAUACUUCUUCGUGUUUGUUUCAAAAGGUGUCCACAAGCAAUAGUCAACUUGAUCUAUUCAACCAACGAUUCAACCCAAUCUAAAGCAUUUGAUUAAAAAAAAAAAAUGUUUGUUUGUUUCUUUGUACCAAAAAUAAAGGAACGAUGUAACACUUUCACCUCACUGCCCUCUCAGUUUGAAUGCUCUCAUUAUAUUAUUAAAUUAAAUCCAAGCUAAGCCAAGUUUGCUUAAUUUUUAUUUUUUAGAAGCCAAAAAUAAGAUAAAUUAUAAAAGCUUUCAUAGCACAAGGCAUGUCAAGAACAUACAAUGAUUACAAAGAGUUUACAAGAUAGAAAUCAGGUGGAGUUUAACAUGGAAAAUGUCAAUCCUUUUCCACCAUGGACCAUUGCAAAUCAACCAUCAAAUUUUAGAGUAUAUUACAUCUUAUCAUGUGUGUCUCACACUAGAUCCAACUAUCCAUUUUCUACAACUCAUCUCCCUCAAUCCGGAUCUGCACAGUUUUAAUUUGUCCAAUUCUCAAUUCCCGACAUCUGGUAAGAAAGAUUCAACUCUUGAGAUCAAACAUUAUCUGAGAAGUAACAAAACAUUGAAACAAUGCCAAGUUCUCUCGCAUCUCCUGGAUAUCCUCAUGUUCUCAAAAUCUGGUUGUUAUAUGCAUCAGACUCACCGUCGCUGACUCACCGUCUUUCUCACCGUCGCGGUGUCCCCUUUUUCAGUUUUAUGAUGACAUCUAAGUGCAUGAAAUUGGAGAUAAUUUAGUAGUGCAUGUUUAAUCUUGCAAGGUGAAGGCUUGGAUUUUACAAUUCUUUGAUCUCUCGUGAAAUUAAUUAAGUGUUUUAAUGACUAAUACCUCAAAUUCGUCCUUGAAUUUUGAAAAUCGGCCAAUUUCAUCCCUGAAUUUUGCGAAAUAUCAAAUUAGUCCCUGAAUUUUGCAGAAGUCCAUCAAAUUCGUCCCUCCGUCCAAAAGGUCCGUUAAUAGUGAUGAUGUGGCUUCUUGCAUGCUUUGUUGUCCUGUACACGUGUCAGCAAGUCAGCCACGUGUACAAGGACUAAAUUGAUGGAAAUGGUCAAAAUUUGAUAUUUAACAUUUCAGUCUCUUUUUUCCUGUGUUUCCAAUUAUACCCCUCUAUUACAUGUAUUGUCCUGGAUCGAUUUGAGACUUACUGUCAUAAUUUGAGGACUAAUUUGAUGAAUUUUGUUAUAAUUUAAGGGCUCAUAUGAUUGAUUUUAUUUGCAGAGAAUGAGUACAAGGAGAUAUGGCAUGAGAGGACCAAUGAAUUCAAAUGACAUGCAUAAACAAACACCACUGAGGGGUCCUGCUCCACAAGAUCCAACUGCUCUUGGAGUUAUUAGAAUUUCAAAUCCAAAUUACGGGUCAUCCGCUUCUACUCAACCCCAAUACAUGGAGUUUAUCCCAGCUCCAGAAUUUCCAAAGCAUUGAUGCAUGUUUAAAUUAUGUUUUUGGACUAGUUUAAUUAAUGCUUUUUGGACUUGUUUAGUUUACGCUUUUUUGGAUAUAUAAUCACUUAAGAACAUCAAAUGAUUUGAUGACUAUGUAAUGUUAUUUUUUUGGCUAUGUAAUGACUUAUGAACAUCAAAUAUAUGACUUAUGAUGGUAUGAAAAUGUCCGUCUUUUUAUAAUCAAAGUGUCUGUCUUUUACUUUUUACUUUGUUCAGCAAAUGUAUGCACCAAGGAUCACAGUGAUAUCUGUUGUGAAAAUUCAAGGACCUAUUUGAUGGUAUUUAAACUAAUUUGAGGAUCGAUAUGAUGGAUAUGGAUAUAAUUCAAGAACCAAUUUGAUUGAAAUAUUUUGACAUAAUGGUUUGGUUCAUUCAUCGACAACCUCUUUUCAUUACAACAUUACAUGGACUUGGCAUAAUACAAUAUUAUUUUAAACAACUCAAUCAAACAAAAUACUCCUAUCAAUAUCUUAAUCAACCUAAGCUCACUUCCUACACAAUCAACUUUAUCCAUCAACCUUGUCCUCCAAAAUACACCUAGAGCUUGAAGAUGAAUACCGGUUGUUGUAGUUGUUUUUGCCCAUUUGCGCACCACCCAUCAAUUUUGAACACCGAAUCUACAAGGCAGACCACUUGAUUUAUGAAUUUUGAAUUUAAUCAAAAAAAUUAGGGUUAUAAGUUUUUUGAAUUGGGGAAGAAAUUUGACAUCAAUUCAUGGAAGAAAUUUUGGGGAUUUUGAACUUUGUAAGGAAUUAUAACAUUAGGGUUCCAAAUUUAUAUAUUUGGGGAAGAAAUAGCCCUUAAUGAGGAAGAGAAGAAAGAGCUGUUACUCACAAAGAAGGGAAAGAGCCGCUGCCAAUUUUCUGAAAAUCCAUCAAUUUGGUCCUUGGAAAUUUUGUGUAAAUUCAUCAAUUUGGUCCUUGGAAAUUUUGUGUAAAUCAAUCAGUUUGAUCCCUGCUUGCGUGGCAUCUUACGUGGUAAGCUUUGUCAGAGGUUAACGUUACACGUCACCUCCAUUAACAGACCAACUUAACGGAGGGACUGAUUUGUUUGAUAUUUUGUAAAUUCAUGGACUAAUUUGAUAUUUCGCAAAAUUCAGGAACGAAAUUAGCCGAUUUUUCAAAAUUCAAGGACGAAUUUGAGGUAUUAGUCGUGUUUUAAUCUCAUGUUUAACGAUGGCGACGACGACAGCGAGAAGAUGUAGCGGAGGAUUGCAGACCAGUUGCAGAUUUGUGUUUUGGUUCCUAUGGGUUUAAUUUACCAAUUCUCAAAAUAAGUUUUGCAAAUAAAAAAGAAAACUACAUAUAUAAGUUAAAUUAGUUGUGUUGGAAAGUGGAAAAGAAAUGAUCUAAUAUCGACGGUGUAUAAUAAGAUUAUGUUCUUCAAUUAAUUUAAUGUCAAAACAAUUAUACAAGGUGUCUACGACAAAAUCACAACUCAAAAUCAAUGAACAUCAAUGCCUAAAUAUUGUAAAGGUUAUGUACUACCGGUAAAAAAACAAAAGAAAAUAUGUAAACUUUUGUUUUAAUUCAUGACCAUAUCAAAAAAAUUAUCAUAUCAAUGAUUGGACCUUUCCUACGAUCUUGCUAAUCAAAAAUCAAAUUGUUACUAUAUUUCCAAGUCGAUCAAAUGCAUGCCAAGUACCAACAAUAUAGAGCAAAGAUUUUCAUGAUUUGCUUAACCAUGACACACAUGUUAAACUGAGUGACGUGUAAAAAAAUAUUAAACGAUGCACGUCUAACACUCAACCUAAUCUUUAUCAACACAUCUGACCCAACCUUGCUAAAAUAAAGGACAUUAAAAGAAUAAAGAUUGUGACGUUUCAUUCACUUCCCAUCCUCCUACACAAAAGGAGGAAUCUAAAUUAUUAAUCUCACGAGGAAGCACGUUGUAUUUCGUUGGAAGACGAUCAUCAUAAUCAAUCAAUAUAUUAAUAAUAGAGAAAUAAGUUUCUUUUCUUUUACCGAGUAAACAUCAUCAAACUUCUACUUCCAUCUGUCAGCUUUGCUUCCUUCACAAUUACUUGUACAUAUUCACAUUUUACUCUUAAGGGGAAGAUAUUUUAGGGGAAGAAAUUUUGUAUGACGCCCUUGAGCAAAAACUUGGCCAGUUUUUUUCUUCCUCAACUCCACGCUUAGAACAGCUACAGCCUUUCCUAGUCUUAGAACCCUGGUAUCAAUCUCAAUCUCCUCCUAACACAAAAAACCAGUAAAAAAAUAUCCUAUUCCUCCAAUUAUCAAAAUUUAAUAUCACAAAAAAAAAUUAAACAAUACAUCAUGUAAAAAAUUGAAAGGAGUGGUAUUAUUCAUUUACUUUCAGAUAUUUAAUCAGUCAUAAUUAUUCACUCUGUUGUGUCGGCAGCUAGCUACUGUAGACACUUUGUUUGUAUAUGAAGCUUCAAUAAAUGAACAAUGGACUCAGAUUCAAUAAGAAGUGGUAAAAAAGCAUCAUAACAAAGAGUUUGUCUUGGUGUUUUUGUAUAAAUAUGCAUUUUCUAUAAACGAAAAAGAUAUUCAAAUUUUCAAACCAUCGUUUUCAGCUAACUAGCUUUCACAUUAUCUCUAUUAUUAUAAUUAGAAAUGAAAAUUCAUAUCUAAAUGUCAUUCUGAUUCAAAGUAAAAAAAGAAAAUAGAAAUUUAAAAUGCUGUUAGAAGGUGAAGAUAGUUUCAUUAGUCUUUGUGAAUUAGCAAAUGUGCUUAAUGGACAUGGCUUGACAGUGUAAAAUAGUUUUACCAUACAACUAAUUACAAAAAUUGUAGGAUUAGCGAUAAUGCAAGAGUGAUUAAGCUUUGAAAUAAACUAACAUUGACAUAGGCAGCAUCCAAGCAUGAUAUAUUGAUCUCUACGGAAACUCCGGAUUUCCACGGAAAUCCAGCUGCGGGAAUUGCGGUUCCGCCUGCGAUAUCCACCAGAGUAGUGAUAGCACCACCGUGCAAGUACUUACCUGAAUUCUGCGAAUUAAUGAAUUAAUUUAUGUCAAAUGAAGAAGAAGAAGAAGAAGAAGAAGAAGAAGAAGAUUGAAGAGAGUACGAACGAGUAAACGUGGGGGUAUGUUCAUUGAGAAGACGACACGACCAGGUUCAAUGAGAUCCA
rnacentral:lncRNA from 1 species